AUUGAACGCUGGCGGCAGGCCUAACACAUGCAAGUCGAGCGGAGCGGCGGACGGGUGAGUAAUGCCUAGGAAUCGGCCUGGUAGUGGGGGAUAAGGUCCGGAAACGGGCGAUAAUACCACAUACUAUCCGAUGAGCCUAGGUCGGAUUAGCUAGUUGGUGGGGUAAAGGACUACCAAGGCGACGAUCCGUCACUGGUCUGGGAGGAUGAUCAGUCACACGGGAACUGAGACACGGUCCAGACUCCUACGGGAGGCAGCAGUGGGGAAUAUUGCACAAUGGGCGAAAGCCUGAUCCAGCCAUGCCGCGUGUGUGAAGAAGGUCUUCGGGUUGUAAAGCACUUUCAGUUGGGAGGCGUUACCAACAGAAUAAGCACCGGCUAACUUCGUGCCAGCAGCCGCGGUAAUUC
rnacentral:rRNA from 1 species